rnacentral:rRNA from 1 species
UGGGGAAUUUUGGACAAUGGGCGAAAGCCUGAUCCAGCAAUGCCGCGUGAGUGAAGAAGGCCUUCGGGUUGUAAAGCUCUUUUGUCAGGGAAGAAAAGGCCUGGGCUAAUAUCCUGGGUUCAUGACGGUACCUGAAGAAUAAGCACCGGCUAACUACGUGCCAGCAGCCGCGGUAAUACGUAGGGUGCGAGCGUUAAUCGGAAUUACUGGGCGUAAAGGGUGCGCAGGCGGUUGUGCAAGACAGGCGUGAAAUCCCCGGGCUUAACCUGGGAAUGGCGCUUGUGACUGCACGGCUAGAGUGUGUCAGAGGGGGGUAGAAUUCCACGUGUAGCAGUGAAAUGCGUAGAUAUGUGGAGGAAUACCGAUGGCGAAGGCAGCCCCCUGGGAUAACACUGACGCUCAUGCACGAAAGCGUGGGGAGCAAACA